rnacentral:rRNA from 1 species
CACGUAGGGCGCAAGCGUUGUCCGGAAUUAUUGGGCGUAAAGGGCUCGUAGGCGGUCUGUCACGUCGGGAGUGAAAACACGGGGCUUAACCCCGUGCCUGCUUCCGAUACGGGCAGACUAGAGGUAUGCAGGGGAGAACGGAAUUCCUGGUGUAGCGGUGAAAUGCGCAGAUAUCAGGAGGAACACCGGUGGCGAAGGCGGUUCUCUGGGCAUUACCUGACGCUGAGGAGCGAAAGUGUGGGGAGCGAACAGG